rnacentral:rRNA from 1 species
GACGAACGAUGGCGGCGUGCUUAACACAUGCAAGUCGAACGAAGUGGGAACGGGUGAGUAAUACGUGGGUAACCUCCCUCCUUUUUGGGAUAAGCCUUGGAAACGGGGUCUAAACCGAAUAGAUGGGCUCGCGGCCUAUCAGCUUGGUGGUGGGGUGAUGGCCUACCAAGGCGGUGACGGGUAGCCGGUCUGAGAGGAGGAACGGCCACAUUGGGACUGGGACACGGCCCAGACUCCUACGGUAGGCAGCAUUGGGGAAUCUUCCGCAAUGGACGAAAGUCUGACGGAGCAACGCCGCGUGAGUGAUGACGGCCUUCGGGUUGUAAAGCUCUGUUAAGCGGGACGCGGUACCGGAAUAGAAAGCCACGGCUAACUACGUGCCAGCCGCCGCGGUAAUUC